AUUGAACGCUGGCGGCAGGCUUAACACAUGCAAGUCGAGCGGGGUGAUGGUGCUUGCACUAUCACUUAGCGGCGGACGGGUGAGUAAUGCUUAGGAAUCUGCCUAUUAGUGGGGGACAACAUCUCGAAAGGGAUGCUAAUACCGCAUACGUCCUACGGGAGAAAGCAGGGGAUCACUUGUGACCUUGCGCUAAUAGAUGAGCCUAAGUCGGAUUAGCUGGUUGGUGGGGUAAAGGCCUACCAAGGCGACGAUCUGUAGCGGGUCUGAGAGGAUGAGCCGCCACACUGGGACUGGGACACGGCCCAGACUCCUACGGGAGGCAGCAGUGGGGAAUAUUGGACAAUGGGGGGAACCCUGAUCCAGCCAUGCCGCGUGUGUGAAGAAGGCCUUAUGGUUGUAAAGCACUUUAAGCGAGGAGGAGGCUACUUUAGUUAAUACCUAGAGAUAGUGGACGUUACUCGCAGAAUAAGCACCGGCUAACUCUGUGCCAGCCGCCGCCGUAA
rnacentral:rRNA from 1 species